rnacentral:lncRNA from 1 species
AGAGAAGUGGAAUAGAUUCGAUAAAAUAUAAAUCAACAUAGGGUCCGAUAGGGGAUAGAAAUAUACCCUUAUGCUUUAUGCAAUUCGUUAAUUGUUCAUAGAAAUUCAUGCAUUCUUGUAUAUUUGCAUCAUUCAUAGAAAUAUAGGCUGGUGGUAUGCAAGAGUAGGUUUAAUAUAUAUCGAGAGAGUAUAUUGGAUAGGUUUAGG